AAUAAAUACGAUGAAUAACCAAAAAAAAAAAAAAAAAAAAAAAAAAAAAAACAUAACCACAGAACAGAAAAAUAAAUGAACACCAAAAAUUGUUCACCCACUUCAGCAAACGCCUACUCUAGGGAGCUCAGAGAUCAGCCCAAGCAUUAAGCAUAAGAAAACCCUCUGAAGAGAAAGUACAGAUUAGGAAAAUUCAAUCAAACCCAGAUUUAAUCAUCUAUCUACAACUAGAUCUCUUAAAUUGCAAACCCUAACCUAAAUAUAACUAAGGACCUUUUACACUUGUAUAGAUACAAAGCCAACCACUAUUUCAGGUCUAAUUUACUGUAGCAACAUGAAUCACUCAGGAUUUUACAACAAAAUUUGGCUAGAGUUUCAUAAAAAAUCACAGAUGAAAACCAAAAAAACGAUUGAGAAUUAGAGAGAGAGAAAAUAACUUCAAGCCGAGAACCAAACUGAUUGAAUCAAUGUAACUAUUCCCAUCCCUAAAGUGUCAUAGCGGAGUGACCGAAUCACGACCGUAGAUUAGAUCCGCCAUGAAGACGAUUGAGAACUAGAGAGAGAAAAAAUAACUUCAAGCUAAGAACCAAA
rnacentral:lncRNA from 1 species